rnacentral:lncRNA from 1 species
CUUGAUAUGUUUAAGAGAAUAUUUAUUUCAAAUUCCACUUUACUCUCUGUGCUACCUAGAAGAAAUAGGAGAGGCUUCUCAAGAGGAGAAGAUAGUUGGAACUCUGGAAGUUGUGUGAGGAUUUUUAGCUCUUCAGUCUAUUUGGAACAGAAGGUUUCGACUGUGAACAAAGAAAAGUAUGAGUGAAAACAGAGCUUAGGAGUAAAGAUUACAGUCCAUGUAUCAAAAAAAGAUCUCCUUCUCCAAAAUUAUUUUCAGCAGGGCUCCUUUUAUAGCUAGUUCAUGGAGGUCAAUUGAUAUAUAAUUGAAUUUUCCAAAAAUAUCUUCACAAGACUUUUCAGUAAUACAACAUAAUAAGAUUUAGUCCCACGGUGGUAACUGCAUUCCUGAAAAGCUGAGCGAUGUUUCAGAGUUUUCACAAGUUACCUUUCUUAAAGUAGGUUGAUAGCUAUGCAUCAAGGCCCAAAAUCAUGCCUGUGGAAACAACACUCUUCACAACUCCACUUGCUAGAAGCUGCUAUGCUUUCUUGAAGAGAUGAGGUAGAAAACUGUUAUUCUUGUUUUUUCUUUUGGUUUGGAUCACCAGGGAAGUCCCAGAAAUUUGCUAUUCUUAACUGGGUUAAAUUAAGGAUGACGGGAAGGACAGGAAGUGUCACCAUCUUGGGGAGAAGGAAGAGUUGUUAAAGCAUCAUCUAGACUCGUAGCUCUCUGGGCAUGGUUUCAUUGCUGUGUCUGAAAUUGUAUAUUAUUUGUUUCUUUUCAUUUUUUUUUUACAAGUUUCUUAUAUCACUGUCUCUUGAGAUAUCAGUUUUUGAUACUUAUUUCCUUUUAUUUCCUCACAUAUGUACUACCUCUUGGGACAUGAUCCAUUUUUCUUCAGCCUGAAUAGCCUUCCUCCACACUCUGAAGGACAUCAAGACACUAGAUUUAACAAUGUGGCAGUGGAUGAGAUGGGAGACAUGCUCGAAGUAUUCAAAAUGAAAAACACCAGAACACAACCGUUAUUUUAUGAAAGAGGCUGGAAAAUGGUUAGUAAAGAAAUCACAGAUGUGUUUCACAGAUGAGGGGGAGGUAAGGGAGAGGACUAUGUUCAGAAAAUAGCAUAAGCACAAUAUAUUCCUGAUUUGGCUCAACAUAUUACUUUUUGGGUUUCUUAAGCUUGAUUUGGGAGGUUUAUUUUCACUUUGAAGAGUAUCUGUGUCUAUAUGGAUGUACAUAAGUAAUUUGACAUCCCAGAAGAACAUAAUGUUAUUAUAGAAUAUUGACCAUAAUUAUUUAUCUGUAGUUACAUUAAAUAAAAGGCACUUGAUAAAACA